GCCAGAAUUUACUGAGCACUCAGCUAGGGAGGGUCUGGGACUUAUUUCAUAGCAAGUAAGAUACAGUUCUCUCACCCCAGGCCAUCAUACUAGUGGAAGAAAUGGGCCAUCAGUCUGAGGUGUCAGCUGGAAAUUGCAGUGGGGUGGCGGGAACCACAGCCAAAGCAGAGGCUGCCAUACUGUGGCUGUGCAUGGCCUGUGACUGCUUUGUGGAGAGAGAAGUCCUGAAAGUCUGGUGGGAGCUACUGAAUUGAUGUGAAUAUCAGGAAACAGAUGGAUUGAGGCACAAUCUGUGGUUCGGAAUUCAAGUUAGUAUGAAAGCAGGCUGGAAGGGACUCUGUGUGUGGGGACGGGUGUCAUGUGGCAAGGUUAGGACAGGGAAAUCCAGGUCCUAAGUGGAUGAGACAAAUGUGGCCUCACGUAGCUGGGUUGAGCGGGGUGUGAAUAGGCCCUAUUCUGUCACCUUAGAGCAUGUGCUCUGCACUGUGCAGAAGAGCUGUGUGCCCAUCACACUCAGAAGCCAAGUGGACCGGG
rnacentral:lncRNA from 1 species